rnacentral:rRNA from 1 species
GCAAGGAAUUUUCCGCAAUGGGGGAAACCCUGACGGAGCAACGCCGCGUGCGGGAUGACGCCUUUCGGGGUGUAAACCGCUUUUGUCAGGGACGAAGGCCUGGGUAACCGGGUGAGACGGUACCUGGCGAAGAAGGACCGGCUAACUACGUGCCAGCAGCCGCGGUAAUACGUGGGGUCCAAGCGUUGUCCGGAAUUACUGGGCGUAAAGGGCGUGCAGGUGGUUUGUCAAGCUUGGCGUGAAAGCCCCCGGCCCAACCGGGGAGGGUCGUCGAGGACUGGCAGACUUGAGGGGCGCAGGGGUCGGUGGAAUUCCGGGUGUAGUGGUGAAAUGCGUAGAGAUCCGGAGGAACACCAGUGGCGAAGGCGGCCGACUGGGCGCACCCUGACACUGAGACGCGAAGGCGUGGGGAGCGAACGGG